rnacentral:ncRNA from 1 species
GUAGAGCUUUUGUGAGUCAGUGCCUUCGUUUGAGUUGUGGAAACAUAUACGAGAAGAUGCCGCCGUUAGUAAGCUCUCUCUUCACCCAAAUUCGGCUUUUAGAACCAAGCCAAAUGCGAAACGGCUACUCGGGU